UACGUAGGGUGCGAGCGUUAAUCGGAAUUACUGGGCGUAAAGCGUGCGCAGGCGGUUUUGUAAGCCAGAUGUGAAAUCCCCGGGCUUAACCUGGGAACUGCAUUUGUGACUGCACAGCUGGAGUGCGGCAGAGGGGGAUGGAAUUCCGCGUGUAGCAGUGAAAUGCGUAGAUAUGCGGAGGAACACCGAUGGCGAAGGCAAUCCCCUGGGCCUGCACUGACGCUCAUGCACGAAAGCGUGGGGAGCAAACAGG
rnacentral:rRNA from 1 species